UGCCAUUGUUCAUCUUCCACUGAUUUGUCAUUCAACUCCUCGCUGUCGCUCAUUCCUUCGUUGCAGCUCAUCUCGUUGCUGCAAGCAAUGCCGUUGUCGCUGCCUUCAGUGAGCUUCUACGAUUCGACUUCGAUCUGAAGAUUUGUCAGCAUUCGUCUCAUCACCAUCGUUCAUCUCCUCGCCAUCGCAAGAAACACCAUUGUCGCUGCCUUCAACGAGCUUCUAGGAUCUAGUUCUCAAUCUAGCUCAUCUCCUCGCCGCCACAAGCAAUUCCAUUGUUGUUGCCUUCAGUAAGCUUCAACAAUUUGGCUUCGAUAUGAAGAUUCGUCACCGCUCAUCUCACUGCCGUCAUUCAUCUAUGCACCAUCGCAAGCAACACCACUGUCGCUGCCUUCUAGGAUCUGAUUUUCAAUCUGGCUCAUCUCCUCACCUCAGCAAGCAACGCCGUUGUUGCUGCCUUCAGCAAGCUUCAACAAUUUAGUUUCGCCAUCUCUGUCACUUCUAAUAGUACAACACAAUACUUUACUUUUUCGUCAACAAAAGUCAUGCCAUUGUGGAGGAACUGAUUGGGUUUGGAGCAAGAGUGCACGCGUGUGCAAAGAAUGAAGCUGAGCUCACUAAGUCUCUUAUCUAAUAAAAUGAUUCUGGUUUUGAGGUUAUUGGCUCUGUUUGUGAUGUCUCUGUUCCUCAUAAGAGGGAGAAGCUGAUGGACUCUGCGUGUUCUCAAUUCCAAGGGAAACUCAACAUCCUUACCAAGGCAAGAAAAGCCAAGAAGAAGUUGCCAAAAUUCUAUAAGAGUUGGAGCAAUGGCCCAAUCUCAGAGUGAAAAAAUUCCACUGUCACAAUCUGCACCCCAAGCUGAGAAGGAGAAAACUCCAAUGACAAUCCUAGACCAUUUAGAAAGAAACACCAGAUUGUUAAGCCCACAGCUCCAUGUAUUGUACCCCCACCCGUACCAGCACCAGUACCAACAUUAUGGUUCAAAUCUCAACUUUCACAAGCUUCAAACCUGAGACUUCACAACUCACAGAACUAAUGCAUUAGGCCAAUAGCUGAUAUGACAACUCCAAGAAACAAGAAUGGUGCAAUUUCUACAGAGACGAUGGCUACUACAUCACGACUUCUUAAAUUUGUGCCUACACCCGACUUUAGGCCUCCAGGACUUGGGCUUCUUAAGCACCAUUGAUAAUGUUAAUAGGGUUAUAGAAAUGUGAAUUGUUGUUUUGUUAUUUUGGAUGUCUAAUUUGCAUCUUUAAGACUUGAAGUGAUACAAUGGUAUUUUGGCUGUUAGUUUUUUUAUUUAGGGCCAUGUUGCUGCCCAUGCUAUGCUAUUUAAACUAUGAAUAGAUAAAUAGCUUGUUAAGUAUCAGUAUGAAUAUAACAUAU